UACGGAGGGUGCGAGCGUUGUCCGGAAUCACUGGGCGUAAAGGGCGCGUAGGUGGCGCGGGAAGUCAACGGUGAAAGUUCGGGGCUCAACCCUGAAUCGGCCGUCGAUACUCCCGGGCUCGAGCACUGUAGAGGCAGGCGGAAUUCCGGGUGUAGCGGUGGAAUGCGUAGAGAUCCGGAAGAACACCGGUGGCGAAGGCGGCCUGCUGGGCAGUAGCUGACACUGAGGCGCGACAGCGUGGGGAGCAAACAGG
rnacentral:rRNA from 1 species